UACGUAGGGGGCAAGCGUUGUCCGGAUUUAUUGGGCGGAAAGAGCGUGUAGGCGGCUUGGCAAGUCCGCUGUGAAAACUCGAGGCUUAACCUCGAGACGCCGGUGGAAACCAUCAGACUAGAGUCCGGAAGAGGAGAGUGGAAUUCCUGGUGUAGCGGUGAAAUGCGCAGAUAUCAGGAAGAACACCCGUGGCUAAGGCGGCUCUCUAGUACGGUACUGACGCUGAGACGCGAAAGCGUGGGGAGCGAACAGG
rnacentral:rRNA from 1 species